rnacentral:snRNA from 1 species
GCGCUUGCUUCGGCAGCACAUGUAUUAAAACUGGAACGAUACAGAGAAGGUUAGCGUGACACUUGUGCACGAACGACACGCAAAUUCGUUCCAUAUUUUU